rnacentral:rRNA from 1 species
UGAGUAACCUGCCCUUCACUCUGGGAUAACUCCGGGAAACCGGGGCUAAUACUGGAUAUGACUCGAACAGGCAUCUGUUUCGGGUGGAAAGAUUUAUUGGUGGAGGAUGGACUCGCGGCCUAUCAGCUUGUUGGUGAGGUAAUGGCUCACCAAGGCGACGACGGGUAGCCGGCCUGAGAGGGUGACCGGCCACACUGGGACUGAGACACGGCCCAGACUCCCGACGGGAGCA